GACAACUUCACAGGGGUGGAAGAGGGCCCCUUUUCACACCUGAACAGGAGGAGGCUAUUUGCACCAUGGUUGUAGAAAACAAUGCCAUAAGACUAAGGGAGAUAAAGAGUGCCAUUAUAGAGGACAACCACAUCUUUGAAAACAUCCAAACAGUCAGCAUCUCAACCACUGACAGGGUGCUGAAAAGACACCAAAUGAAUAUGAAGCAGCUGUACACUGUUCCAUUUGAAAGAAAUGGUGAAAGAGUGAAGGAGCUGUGCUACCAGUAUGUACAGUUAAAACAUGUGUGGGCAUGCAGCAACUGUACCUCACAGUAAACAGUACAACAUCGUAUAGUGAUAUACAGUACAGGUAUAAUGGAACUGGAAGCAAGUGAACCAUCUACAUGAAUGAGGCUGGCUUCCACCUAACGAAAUGUAGAAGGCGUGGACGAAAUAUCAUCGGCCACAGAGCUACAGUUGAUGUGCCAGGCCAACGGGGCAGGAACAUAACCAUGGGUGCUGCUGUCUCUGAGAAUGGUGUGCUAACGCAUAUUCCCAUUAUUGGGCCAUACAAUACAGAGUGUCUUGUCACCUUUUUAGACACUCUCUACAGGGAUCUCAUCCUUGAACAAGAGAAGGGUCAGAUUGGAGAUGACCUGCCAAAGUACAUGAUAGUUUGGGACAAUGUCAGUUUCCAUCACUCCAACAUCAUCAGGCAAUGGUUUGCAGCCCACAACAGGAUACUGAUGGAGUUCCUCCCCCCCUUCUCUCCAUUCCUUAACCCCACUGAAGAAUUUUUCUCAGCAUGGAGAUGGAAAGUAUAUGAUCGCCAGCCACAUACACAGAUGACCCUUCUGGCUGCCAUGGAUGCAGUGUGUGAUGACAUCACAGCAGAUGCCUGCAGAGCCUGGAUAAGUCACUCUAAAAGAAAAUUUUCAAGCUGCAUUGCAAGAGAAGAUAUUCGUUGUGAUGUGGAUGAGAAUUUGUGGCCCAACAGACUGGAACGUCAGGAGGUGUAG
ensembl:lncRNA